ensembl:lncRNA
UGACUCGGCGACCCUGCUAUGAGACAUUACUCCACUAGAAUGUAUUUGCAAGGUGUUUGAUAUAAAUAACUGAGAGUUGAUGUGAGGACACUUGGUCCACGGAGGCUGGUUCAUAUUACAUAACAAUAAAUUCCCAGAGUCCUCUCUGACACCACAACCCCUGAUAUCCAGUAUAUCAUCUUUAAUCCAUGCUGUUGUCCUGUCUAUGUCCGCGUCUAAGCCACCUCUGAGUCAUGAAGGGGAUUAAAUAAAAUUACAACAGAAAAUCUGGGUCCCUGAUAUUUUAGGACUCAUUACAAUGAGUGUACUUCUGACUACAGAAUAACUGGAGAGUAAUUGAUUUCCAGUUUAAUAAAUUCUUAAUGUGUCUCUGCAAACAGGCACUAAGCAACUCGAAUUUACUGUCAUUCAUUUAGUACAUAACAGCUCUUUAACUGCUAGUAAAUGAGCUGUUUUCUCGCUGAUGGAUAUAAGUGGGAGUUCAAUAUCAUAGUCUUGAUUUAGCUCCUCAAAUUUCACUGAUUUCUUUAGCAGCAAACAAACCUGUCAGAAUAUAACAUUUCUUGUUUUUCACCAACAUUAAAAGGUACACGAUGUAAGUUUUGGCCCUAUUUUGUUAAAAAAUAAAACUGCAUACAUUUUGUGGAAGAAUACUGUGCUUGGUUGUGCUUCAGCUCUGCAUAUUUGUGUGGACGAAUAUAGUUUGCUGCAUCAGUCAGUGUGAGGGAAAAUGGAUCUACACCAAAUUGCAGAUCACCUGGAUCUACGGGUCCUGACAAACAGUUAUUUGAAAGUAACUACCUGCUGAACAUGCAUUUUGUACGAAUACAUGCAAGCUAUUAUGAGCUCCUGAAGAAGCACCUUUAGUGCUUGGACCCCUAAAAAGAAGAAGAAGAACAAGAAGAAGAAGAAGAAGAACAACAACAACAACAACAAGAGGAAAGUUCCUCUUGCUUGGCCCCUAAUGAGCCUUAUCACAUGUUCCUGCAGCACAAACUGCUCUGGUCUGUCUGGAAAAGACCACGCCUCCACACAGACAUUUGAGAAGGGAAUUGAAAGUGUCGUGGAGAAAAGGUGAGCUGAUUAAACUUACUAAACUCUGGCAUGCUGAGAUCUUGUUCUUAACCUCCCGCUCGAGAAGCUGACACCUCUUCCCCCUCUCACUCACUUCUCGUGCCUUCCUUUCUCAGCAGCUCCAUCUGAGCUCAGCCGAGCGAGGACGAGAGCAACAGGAGAAGAGGAGGAAGGAGGAGGAGGAGGAGGAGGAGGAGGGUGGAAAUGAGGAUGAGGGAGAUCCAGAAAAGAG